ACUACCAUGCAGUCGAGCGGUAACAGGGGUAGCUUGCUACCCGCUGACGAGCGGCGGACGGGUGAGUAAUGCAUAGGAAUCUGCCCGAUAGUGGGGGAUAACCUGGGGAAACCCAGGCUAAUACCGCAUACGUCCUACGGGAGAAAGGGGGCUCCGGCUCCCGCUAUUGGAUGAGCCUAUGUCGGAUUAGCUAGUUGGUAAGGUAAUGGCUUACCAAGGCAACGAUCCGUAGCUGGUCUGAGAGGAUGAUCAGCCACAUCGGGACUGAGACACGGCCCGAACUCCUACGGGAGGCAGCAGUGGGGAAUAUUGGACAAUGGGGGCAACCCUGAUCCAGCCAUGCCGCGUGUGUGAAGAAGGCCCUCGGGUUGUAAAGCACUUUCAGCGAGGAAGAACGCCUAUCGGUUAAUACCCGGUAGGAAAGACAUCACUCGCAGAAGAAGCACCGGCUAACUCCGUGCCAGCAGCCGCGGUAAUACGGAGGGUGCAAGCGUUAAUCGGAAUUACUGGGCGUAAAGCGCGCGUAGGUGGCUUGAUAAGCCGGUUGUGAAAGCCCCGGGCUCAACCUGGGAACGGCAUCCGGAACUGUCAGGCUAGAGUGCAGGAGAGGAAGGUAGAAUUCCCGGUGUAGCGGUGAAAUGCGUAGAGAUCGGGAGGAAUACCAGUGGCGAAGGCGGCCUUCUGGACUGACACUGACACUGAGGUGCGAAAGCGUGGGUAGCAAACAGGAUUAGAUACCCUGGUAGUCCACGCCGUAAACGAUGUCGACCAGCCGUUGGGUGCCUAGAGCACUUUGUGGCGAAGUUAACGCGAUAAGUCGACCGCCUGGGGAGUACGGCCGCAAGGUUAAAACUCAAAUGAAUUGACGGGGGCCCGCACAAGCGGUGGAGCAUGUGGUUUAAUUCGAUGCAACGCGAAGAACCUUACCUACCCUUGACAUCUACAGAAGCCGGAAGAG
rnacentral:rRNA from 1 species